CUACAUUCCGUGGCAGCCUGGCUCCAACAUCCCAGGGAAUUGUGUCACUCCCAUUGAGCAGCUGUGGGGCCCUCUCCCACAUGGCCCAGGUCCACCACUCUGUCAAAGGUCGCACAGCCCAGACAAAAACAGGACACAGCAGUGUGUGAAUGAGCCGGGCUUUCUCCUUCCCUCCACGUAAUAGAAGGUGCCUGAGGUUGUUGAAACACAGUCCAUUUCUCCUGGGAAUGACAAGAAUUUGAGGGAUGCUGACUUUCAAGGAAUACUGCAUGACAGGCAUCAAGAUAAACCUGAUGAAGAAAACAUAGGCCAGAAUCUGGGAAUCGGGAGCAAAGUAAUACAGCUUCGGGGACAGGCACGUAAUGAGGUCAUGAUGUAGGAGACUCCCUGCAGGACUGGCGGCCCCUGUUCCCUGGGUUGUUCUGGCUCUUUCAGAUUUAUAUGUUAACAAGCUGAAUUCCUGCUUCAUCUGGAGGACUGCACAGUGUAUCUGAGAGAGGAUUUUCAGGAGGCCAGAAAAUCAAGCUGGAGGGAUUUUCAGCGUGUUGGGAGAUUGCUACCUGUUUUAAGUCAGGCCAUUGCCACGUCUUUUUCCCCACCUUGGAGACUUCAGGCCUUCAGACAACACUCCCGCACUGGGUUUAUGAGAGUAACCCCCACCUUCCCAGGAAGUUGGAAGCAUUGCCCCAGCCUUUCCAGAAGCUCUGCCUGCCGUUAGCUUGGAUCAUGAAAAUUGGCUCGGCCAGGAGAAUACAUUAUAAGGCCCCAAACCGCGCCAAAUCUUAAGCCCUCAGAGCAUAAAGAUAAACUGAUUUACAAUUAUUUUCAUUAAAAUGUCAUUUUAGGUAUAUGAA
rnacentral:lncRNA from 1 species